rnacentral:misc_RNA from 1 species
GAAAUGCGAUAAGUAGUGUAAAUUGCAGAAUUUAGUAAAUCAUCGAAUCUUUAAACGCACAUUACGCCCCUUAGUAUUCCAUGGGGCAUGCCUAUUCGAGCGUUAUCUACACCCUCAAGCUCUGCUUAGUGUUGGGCGUCUGUCCCGCCUCCGCGCGUUAGACUCGCCCCAAAUUUAUUAGCAGCGUUCCUUACCCCCUCUCGCGCAGCACAUUGCGCUUCUCAAGGGCGGCUCCAGGACGCAACCCACGAAGAUGACCACCGUCUUUAACCUCAGAUUAGGUAGGGAUACCCGCUGAACUUAA